ACCAGGAUAGCUCAGUCGGUACAGCACGAGAAUCUUAAUUUCAGGGUCCUGGGUUCGAGUGUCAAUGCAGGGCA